rnacentral:miRNA from 1 species
GGAAGAUUGCUUGAGCCCUGGAGUUUGAGGCGGCAGUGAGCUAUGAUCACACUACAGCACUCCAGCCUGAGUGACAGAGCAAGACCCUGUCUC